rnacentral:rRNA from 1 species
GACGAACGCUGGCGGCGUGCUUAACACAUGCAAGUCGAACGGUAAGGCCCUUCGGGUACGACGAGUGGCGAACGGGUGAGUAACACGUGGUGAUCUGCCCUGCACUUCGGGAUAAGCCUGGGAAACUGGGUCUAAUACCGGAUAGGAUUCCUGGCUUCAUGGUUGGGGGUGUAAAGCUUUUGCGGUGUGGGAUGGGCCCGCGGCCUAUCAGCUUGUUGGUGGGGUAAUGGCCUACCAAGGCGACGACGGGUAGCCGGCCUGAGAGGGUGACCGGCCACACUGGGACUGAGAUACGGCCCAGACUCCUACGGGAGGCAGCAGUGGGGAAUAUUGCCACAAAUGGGCGCAAGCCUGAUGCAGCGACGCCGCG